rnacentral:rRNA from 1 species
CAGCCGCCGCGGGAAUACGGAGGGCGCGAGCGUUACCCGGAUUUACUGGGCGUAAAGGGCGUGUAGGCGGCCUGGGGCGUCCCAUGUGAAAGGCCACGGCUCAACCGUGGAGGAGCGUGGGAUACGCUCAGGCUAGAGGGUGGGAGAGGGUUGUGGAAUUCCCAGUGUAGAGGUGAAAUUCGUAGAUACCGGGAGGAACGCCGAUGGCGAAGGCAGCCACCUGGUCCACUUCUGACGCUGAGGCGCGAAAGCGUGGGGAGCAAACCGGAUUAGAUACCCCCGUAGUCCCUGUCUCUUAUAC